GCCAGGCAUGGUGGUGUGUGCCUGUAGUCCCAGGUACUCAGGAGGCCGAGGCAGGAGAAUUGCUUGAACCCGGGAGGUGUGGGUUGCAGUGAGCCAGGAUUGCACCACUGCACCCCAGCCUGGGUGACAAAGCGAGACUCCAUCUCAA
ensembl:misc_RNA Metazoa_SRP Metazoan signal recognition particle RNA